GCAAGUUUCCCAGAGCACGUCCUGGGCAGGAGUGGCUGGCAGGAGUGGCUGGCAUCCGUGGGUGCUCCCUGCCUGCUCGUCCACCCCAACCAGCCAGGUAGCCCUGGGACCUCCUGGCCCUGCCACCUGGGAGGUGAUGAUGCAGCUCCAGGAUUGGGCUGUCCUGCUGGUCACAGCAGCUUGUGGAGAACUUUGCUCCAUCUGUCUGCACAACACGUCAGCUCGUCUGAGACAGGUUGACCUCCAGCUUCGCUGCUGAAUAACGAGACAAGGAAUGUGUUCAAGCUGUUGAGUAAACCACCGUCAUCUGUAAGAGAUUUCCCAUCCUUGUGCCUUAAUGGUCAGAACAAAUCUUUGUGGGCUCAUCUCAUAUUUGGUGGGGACGUGCUGCUCUUCAUCUUCGUCUGCUGAGUCGGGAUUUUAGAAAGAAGAUUGAGUUUCUUUCAUGUAUGUUUUUUUUUUUCUUUUAUUUGUUACUGAUUAAUUAUUCAUCAGUCUCAUGUAAACUGGAAUUUUAUAUGCUUUUUUCCCAUUUACUGAUCCUUGAAUUCCUGUGACACCAUGUGCCCUGUUUUGUGUGUCACUGUGUGAUGCUGCAGCCAUGGAAGUCCCAGGGAUGCAGCUCCAGGGACACUUUGACAUACACCAACACUUCGUGUGCCUGCUCCGUCACUUCGGCCCUGGGAUCAAUCCACAAAACAUUCUGGUUUGAUGCUGGGAAUGGACAGAGUUUUUCCAAAGGGAUGUCUGUCCUGUUAGGGCAGGGAGUCCUGUAUCUAGAGGAAACCCACCACCCCAACCUUGCUCAAGCUGUCUUCUGCAACUGUCCCUGUCCUCAAUAUGGUGUCACAGCAUCACCAAAUUGCUCCUGAGCCUACAGCCAGCAGCUGGGAGCUGCUGAAAUCCCUGAAUAACUGCUGUGUCUGCACUUAUUUUAAAGUACCACACUAAUGAUCCUUCCCAGAAGAACACUUGCUGGCAAGAUGGUCCUUCAGGGAGUGGCACGUGCCACAAAUUCCAGCCACGGGUGCAAGGAUGGCUUUGGAGGCUGAAGCUUGGGAAGCAGCUUGAAGAAAUCCUAACCACGUUACGGCCCAGCAGCCUGAUGGUUUCUGACCAAGUUACUGCCAGCUCCGUUUUCUUUGCAGCCCCGCUCUGAAGCUUCGUGGUUCCCAUUUCAUACGGAUUUAGGGAGCUCUGGGUGCUCUUCUUGCCCCCUGUGAUGUCCUUGACUCAGCUCCACCUUGCCGGAUGCGGGUGCUGAGGGUGAACGUGGGCACCCUCAUCUUGGCUUUGUGGCUGAGUGAGCUCCCUCACCCUCUGUGGCCCUAAAUUCAUCGUUCAGUGAGUUUUCUGUGACUUACCCAUCUCUUUUACCUGCUGCUCCCCAGAUGGAGACAUCUGCUAUGGCUCUGUGCCCCGCGGAGCCUUGCAAGAGAUCCCAGUGCUAUUUGCAAAAUAGGUCACAGUUUAAUUUUAUUAGCUUGUCGAUAAACCGGCAGAGCAUAAUUAUACACCAAAACCAUCUAGACUUGAAAGCACAGCGAUCACUCCCUUGUUCUCCGUGAGCUGUAACUUAAUGCAAAACCCUCUGUCGUUUUCCAUUUUCUAGUUCUUUCAUUCAUUCCUGCUGAGUAAUUAAAAAUGGCUUAUAAAUAAACACUGGGGAUGAUUUCCGAAAUGUUCUGUA